AGGAGAGUUUGAUCCUGGCUCAGGAUGAACGCUAGCUACAGGCUUAACACAUGCAAGUCGAGGGGCAUCACGUGAGGCAGCAAUGCAUCUGGGUGGCGACCGGCGAAUGGGUGAGUAACGAGUAUCCAACCUGGCCCAUACUCGGGCACAGCCCCGCGAAAGCGGGAUUAAUGCCCGAUGCGGCGUAUCUCCCGCAUGGGAAUUACGUCAAAGGUAUAAACUGGUAUGGGAUGGGGAUGCGUCCGAUUAGCUAGACGGCGGGGUAACGGCCCACCGUGGCGAUGAUCGGUAGGGGUUCUGAGAGGAAGGUCCCCCACAUUGGAACUGAGACACGGUCCAAACUCCUACGGGAGGCAGCAGUGAGGAAUAUUGGUCAAUGGCCGCAAGGCUGAACCAGCCAAGUAGCGUGAGGGAUGACCGCCCUAUGGGUCGUAAACCUCUUUUGCGCGGGAAUAACCGCACCCACGCGUGGGUGCCUGCAUGUACCGUGCGAAUAAGCAUCGGCUAACUCCGUGCCAGCAGCCGCGGUAAUACGGAGGAUGCGAGCGUUAUCCGGAUUUAUUGGGUUUAAAGGGAGCGCAGGCGGCCGUUUAGGCCAGCCGUGAAAUUUCCGCGCUUAACGCGGUCCUUGCGGUUGGAACCGGAUGGCUUGAGUGGGGUACAGGAAGGCGGAAUUCGUGGUGUAGCGGUGAAAUGCUUAGAUAUCACGAAGAACUCCGAUUGCGAAGGCAGCUUUCCGGACCUUUACUGACGCUCAUGCUCGAAAGCGCGGGAAUCAAACAGGAUUAGAUACCCUGGUAGUCCCCU
rnacentral:rRNA from 1 species